AAAGACAAUUCAAUGAGUGAUAUUCGAUAAUUUGUUAGAAAAAUAUUAAUGAAAAGAAGCAAAAACAUCGAACAUGUUUAGUUUUUUUUUAUUCUUUCCCAACAAGCUUAUAACGCCAUAACCACGUGGAUCAAAGCUUCUCUACCAGGUACUAUUGCAAAAUCCGUUUGUUAAGUUUGACAUAACCACACAAGCCUCACGCUUGAGUGGUUUCAAUAAAGUGUCGCCGACGCGGAGGUGUCAACUGUCAAGGUGCUAUCAAACAGCCCCGCCCCGCCUGAACACCAUUGUCAAAGCUUAAACUUGACUUGACUAACUCGCUGAAUUGUGAGAGAUGUUGACGAAGAAAAGCCCCAAGGAAAUAUAGAAUGUUUAGGUAUGCCCAAUUGAAAAUUUCCUGAAGACAUCUUUUUCUACUUGAUGGCGUCAUCCUAACUAAAUAAAUACUGUUAUUAGAAUA